AGGACGAACGCUGGCGGCGUGCCUAACACAUGCAAGUCGAACGCGCUCCAUUCGGUAGCAAUACUGAUGAAGAGCGAGUGGCGAACGGGUGAGUAGCACGUGAGCAACCUGCCCCGAAGACUGGGACAACACCGGGAAACCGGUGCUAAUACCGGAUAUCCCUAUCGGACCGCAUGAUUCGAUAAGGAAAUGGAUUCCGCUUCGGGAGGGGCUCGCGGCCUAUCAGCUAGUUGGUGGGGUAAUGGCCUACCAAGGCGACGAUCAGUAGCUGGUCUGAGAGGAUGAUCAGCCACAUUGGGACUGAGACACGGCCCAAACUCCUACGGGAGGCAGCAGUGGGGAAUAUUGGACAAUGGGCGCAAGCCUGAUCCAGCCAUGCCGCGUGAGUGAUGAAGGCCCUAGGGUUGUAAAGCUCUUUUGUGCGGGAAGAUAAUGACGGUACCGCAAGAUAAGCCCCGGCUAACUUCGUGCCAGCAGCCGCGGUUAA
rnacentral:rRNA from 1 species